UUGAUAGCCCUGAAGGUUGAGGUCCUUAAAAUUUAUCCAUAGACCCAGUACAGCACAGGCAGUAGCAGUGCAGGCUUUCAGGUAUCCACGCAUGAACAUACAACAUACCACUGUAAACGUCCAUUAGCAAUAGCGCAGCCUCCAUACCUAUUCAGUCCUUGGCCAUU
ensembl:misc_RNA